UCACAGCUUACGCUGGCAGUUUCAGUAGAGUUCUCAGCAUUAUCUGUUAGCAACUACUAAUAGGGGUUGCGCUCGUUAUGGGACUUAACCCGACACCUCACGGCACGAGCUGACGACAGCCAUGCAGCACCUAGACAAAUGUUCUUGCGAAAAGUCUCCUUUCGGAAACGGUCAUCUGUCUUUCAAGCCCAGGUAAGGUUCCUCGCGUACCAUCGAAUUAAACCACAUGCUCCUCCGCUUGUGCGGGCCCCCGUCAAUUCCUUUGAGUUUCAACCUUGCGGUCGUACUUCCCAGGUGGAUCACUUAAUGCUUUCGCUUAGUCGCUGACUGUGUAUCGCCAACAACGAGUGAUCAUCGUUUACGGUGCGGACUAC
rnacentral:misc_RNA from 1 species